AUGAUACCUCGGCCUGAUGAAAGCGUAACUAGCUUCACUGGGAAAUGCAUCUGGGAAGUUUUUGCACCUGGGCAAAUGAUGGAGGGUGAUGUAAUGGACUUCCUCAUUGACAAUUGGAAGAAAGAUCCCGAGAGAAAUGCUGAUUUUGCUUCUGGAAAAAGGGUAUUGCUGAGUUCAUAUUUCAUCACGGUUGUGUUUGACUGGACGUUUUAUGGUGAUGGAAAUAAAGAGUUUAAUGUAGAAAGUGUAGCGAGAAAUUUCAUGAGCUAUGUUAAAUAUAAUGAAGACUUGCUCAGUGUCGACCUUAUAUGUAGUUUGGUCCAAGUAAUGAAGGCUGUAUAUGGUGAUGCUCAGUACAAUGCGAGCAAGCAGCCUAAAUGGGAGCUUUUUGCAAAGAAACCAACGUUUAUUAAGGUUCCACUUCAAGGGGCGAAUGAAUGUGGCCAUUAUACUCUGAAGUAUGUGAGAUCCUGUGAUGGUGAAAAGAUCGUUGAGAACAUUCGAAAUAAAGAUCCUCGUAUUGUUGAUUGGAACUCUGAGGAUCUGUAUAGAGUUGUGUUCAAUCGGAAUAACUAG
rnacentral:rRNA from 1 species